rnacentral:lncRNA from 1 species
CAGACCCUGCUUGAUGCUGCUGCUGCUCCUGGGUUUAUCAGUGCUGCGGCUUUGCCCAGAAAGAAUCAGCUUUAUCAAGGUUCUCUGACCUCAAAGAAAAACAGAAAUUAUGUUGAAGAUGAUAUAAGAAUUGUCCAUGGGACCUACCUUCUCAGGAUCUCAUUAAAUCAUGGUGGGUGAUUCUCCUGUUUUUGCGUAUCCUUUACAUCAUGUUUUCCAUGAAGGGCUGUAGGUGGUCUUUGGAGAAGACAUGGAAGAGGAGAGACACACAAAUGGGAACAGACUGGGAUGUUGUUCUGCACCUGGGCCAGCGUGAUUUCCUUGCAUGGGACAGACAGAUCCAGGCUUUUCUCAGCAGCUCAGAAGAGUAUAGUAGUUUUGAGAUGCAGUCCAAUAACGCGGCACAAUGUAAGAACACGAGACUG